CUGGAACCGAAACCAUCUGGGUGAACACCCCACCUCCCACCCCAGAAAAAUAUGGCAAACGCUGGCACUAAAUGCCAGGUGAUUGGUUUUGCCUGUUCCAGAAUGUCAUCUAAUUGGAAUCUACUUAUUUGCUAAUGCUCGGGUCCAACCCCCUAAGUUGAUUUCAGGCCUACUGGUCAUAGUGGCGAUCUGCAGUUUGAAAACCACUGGCUCACUGCACCUGCUCCGUCUGCCUCCAACAACGACAAUCCAGAGUGCAUUAGCCAUGCUUCCAUGUCCAAGCGUGAUGCACGAGGCACACAGCCUGGCUGGUCGGGAAACACCAACAGAGUCCCAGGGUCCUGACUCACACUAGGACACACUAGUUGGUUAAGUUGUCUACACUGCUGACACAAGGAGUCACAUCCAUUCAUUUAUAUACUCAUCCACUCACUUUGCACAUGCACUGAGCACUCACUUGAUGGUGUGAACAUACACUACAGCCUCCUGGUGACUGUCCAGAGCAGUAAAUUCUAGCUUCAGGCUGGCUCAGAGGAGAGGAAUCCCAAGACAAAGCCUGUCCCCGACUGAUUGUUUACUACUGCCUCCCCCUCCGUAAGAGCUCAGGAAUGUCUCCAAGAACAGAUACAGGCAAUGGUCAUUUCAUUCACACCUUUGAAGUAAAAUACCUCUCAAGUCCAGCCUAGGAAAAAAGAAUAAGGGGAAUUUCUGUCU